GCCAUGAGUUCGUCAACGAAGCCGCGUCCGGUGAAGUGAACUCCCACUUGUCAAAUCCGAUACGUUAGCCUGUGCUGUGCUAUGCUAACACUUGCUACGUUGACUAGCUCAUUCGUUGCUCCGAGGGUGUAACCAUAAAUGAUUAUCCUACAGAGAGUUAUAAGGAGCUUGGAGCCUAUCCCAGGAGACUCAGGGCACAAGACGGGACACCCUGUACAG